GACGAAUGCUGGCGGCGUGCUUAACACAUGCAAGUCGAACGGAAAGGCCCUGCUUGCAGGGUACUCGAGUGGCGAACGGGUGAGUAACACGUGGGUGAUCUGCCCUGCACUUCGGGAUAAGCCUGGGAAACUGGGUCUAAUACCGGAUAGGAGCCAUUUUUAGUGUGAUGGUUGGAAAGUUUUUUCGGUGUAGGAUGAGCUCGCGGCCUAUCAGCUUGUUGGUGGGGUAAUGGCCUACCAAGGCGGCGACGGGUAGCCGGCCUGAGAGGGUGGACGGCCACAUUGGGACUGAGAUACGGCCCAGACUCCUACGGGAGGCAGCAGUGGGGAAUAUUGCACAAUGGGCGGAAGCCUGAUGCAGCGACGCCGCGUGGGGGAUGACGGCCUUCGGGUUGUAAACUCCUUUCGCUAGGGACGAAGCUUUUGUGACGGUACCUAGAUAAGAAGCACCGGCUAACUACGUG
rnacentral:rRNA from 1 species